AUGCUACGGUGAAUACGUUCCCGGGUCUUGUACACACCGCCCGUCACACCACGAGAGUUUGUAACACCCGAAGCCGGUGGAGUAACCAUUUGGAGCUAGCCGUCGAAGGUGGGACAAAUGAUUGGGGUGAAGUCGUAACAAGGUAGCCGUAUCGGAAGGUGCGGCUGGAUCACCUCCUUUCUAAGGA
rnacentral:rRNA from 1 species